GACGAACGCUGGCGGCGUGCCUAAUACAUGCAAGUCGAACGCAGUGGCGGACGGGUGAGUAACACGUGGGUAACAUGCCCUUAAGUCUGGGAUACCAUUUGGAAACAGACGCUAAUACCGGAUACUAAAGGAUGGACCUGCGAUGCAUUAGCUAGUUGGUAAGGUAACGGCUUACCAAGGCGAUGAUGCAUAGCCGACUUGAGAGGCUGAUCGGCCACAUUGGGACUGAGACACGGCCCAAACUCCUACGGGAGGCAGCAGUAGGGAAUCUUCCACAAUGGACGAAAGUCUGAUGGAGCAACGCCGCGUGAGUGAAGAAGGUUUUCGGAUCGUAAAGCUCUGUUGUUGGGGAAGCGGUAAUCAACCAGAAAGUCACGGCUAAAUACGUGCCAGGAGCCGCGGUAAUAC
rnacentral:rRNA from 1 species